CCUACGGGUGGCAGCAGUGAGGAAUAUUGCACAAUGGGGGAAACCCUGAUGCAGCGACGCAGCGUGAGUGAUGAAGUAUUUCGGUAUGUAAAGCUCUAUCAGCAGGGAAGAUAAUGACGGUACCUGACUAAGAAGCUCCGGCUAAAUACGUUCGAGCAGCCGCGGGAAUACGUAUGGAGCAAGCGUUAUCCGGAUUUACUGGGAGUAAAGGGAGCGCAGACGGCAGGGGAAGUCUGAUGUGAAAGUCCGGGGCUCAACCGCGGGAUUGCAUGGGAAAAUGUCCGGUUAGAGUGCAGGAGAGGUAAGUGGAAGUCCUAGUGUAGCGGUGAAAUGCGUAGAUAUUAGGAGGAACACCAGUGGCGAAGGCGGCUUACUGGACUGUAACUGACGUUGAGGCUCGAAAGCGUGGGGAGCAAACAGGAUUAGAUACCCGUGUAGUC
rnacentral:rRNA from 1 species